rnacentral:antisense_RNA from 1 species
ACUCUAAGAGAAGAACACCUCUGUCUAGGAGUUCCAGCAAAGUCCCAGGCUAGUCACAUGCCAUGUUAAUUUCUGAAUCUGUCACGAUGACUCCGGCCAAGUCUGGCUUCUGUGUCAAGCUCUGAAGCCAGAACGUGAAAUCAGCCCCAUGAAACCAUAUGGCCUGAAGGAUUUAUAGAAAUCUAUAUGAAUGAAUCCAUUUCAAUGUCUGGUCUGCAAGAGUACGAAGACUUGACUUCACAUACUACUUGAUGGGAUGGUUUAAUCCUGCAUUAGAGUGCUGACUGGCUAGAGGGAGUUUUCCUCCAUCAGCCCUGUAUGCACUGGACCUCCAAGACAACAAUGAAAUUAAAGACAAUUUAAUGGUUUGGGUAAUAGAUACAAAUAAAACCUUAAAUUUUGUAAUCUUAAA